rnacentral:lncRNA from 1 species
CACGAUGAAAAAGAACAGAUAGUUUUAGCGUUUCCGGCAUUUCGGUAAACGCAGGCGGGCUGGG